rnacentral:rRNA from 1 species
UACGAAGGGGGCUAGCGUUGUUCGGAAUUACUGGGCGUAAAGCGUGCGCAGGCGGCUCAUCAAGUCAGAGGUGAAAGCCCAGGGCUCAACCCUGGAACUGCCUUUGAAACUGUUGGGCUUGAGUACGGGAGAGGUGAGUGGAAUUUCCGGUGUAGCGGUGAAAUGCGUAGAUAUCGGAAGGAACACCUGUGGCGAAAGCGGCUCACUGGACCAUAACUGACGCUGAUGCACGAAAGCUAGGGGAGCAAACAGG